CUAGUCUCCUUGUCUAAUUUUAGGAAUGUCCUACCUAAGCCCUAUAUGUCGUCUUCAAAUGCUCCAACAGGAAGGCAGGCAGAAUUCAGGCCUUCAGCUUUUCCCAACUGUACAAACACAUAAGAAGAACCCUGUCCACUUUCUGGAAAUGGACUUGGGAAGGCUGGUAACAAACUCAGAACAUUUUGAAAAGGGUGAGCGGGUGAAUGCGGCUGGGGAGAAAGAGCAAGAAAAGGCCCUGGAGCAUUUUGUUGGGGUGGGUGGGGAGAAACUUGUUUUCAGAUCCCAUAGGUCACUUUCAGAUGAUGCUUUCAUUGCAGUUCCAAAGACGCAGAUAAGUCAGGCCGAUCUCCAGGAUGAACCACAAGGGCAAGAAGGAAAGAUGAAGCUCGCGACUGGAUCGCCUUUGUUCCUAAGAAGGAAAACCCUAGGGCUACUCCUCUUUCUUGAAGGUUCCCCAGGGAAGCUGAUUGUCAAAUAACAAGCAAAUUACAUUCAUUCAAAAGGAAAUAUUUCUUUAUGUGAGGCUGCCUCUAGGAAAGUCAUCCAUAGUUAAGUUCCGUAGGCUGUGGUCACACCUGAUAUUUAAGACCAUCUGAAGCAGAGAAGAUCAAGAAAGAAUGACAAGAAGAGGUGAACAUUAAAUAGCAA
rnacentral:lncRNA from 1 species